rnacentral:rRNA from 1 species
UGAGUAACCUGCCCUUAACUCUGGGAUAAGCCUGGGAAACUGGGUCUAAUACCGGAUAUUCACUGCCUGUCGCAUGGUGGGGGGUGGAAAGCUUUAUUGUGGUUUUGGAUGGACUCGCGGCCUAUCAGCUUGUUGGUGAGGUAAUGGCUCACCAAGGCGACGACGGGUAGCCGGCCUGAGAGGGUGACCGGCCACACUGGGACUGAGACACGGCCCAGACUCCUACGGGAGCAG